rnacentral:lncRNA from 1 species
UUUAGAUCUUGGAUGAUUGCAAUCUGUUUGCCUUUAUUAUUUCUUUGUAAUUCCACUGAUGGUAUCUCUGCUGGUUUCUCAUGCUCAGGCAGAUUGUCCUCAGUUACAGCUUUGGGCUGCCACUGCAUUUUUGUGUGCUUCUUAUUCCUCUUUCUCUGUUUUGGUGCCUCUUCAUUUUGAUGCUCCUCUUUCUGGCAGUCUCCUUUUUUGUGCCCAAAGGAGUUACAAUCCAAACAAAAAUUGGGCUUCCAUUCAAAUUCUACAUUUUGUAGCCAGCUUCGACCAUCCGGUAUCUCUAUAUAGAUAUGCUCAGGCCAUGGCUGUGUUACAUCUACUUCCACUAGUAUUCUAGCAUAGGAGAUUCUUUCGCACAUAGCUGUUAAUCUGUCAGUACAUAGAGGUCUGCCUAUCACGCUAGUUAUUCUGCUUAGAUUCUCUGCUGCCCAACAUUGAAUUGGCAGCCCGGGGAAGUUAAUCCAGAUGGGAAUAAUCCUCAUCGACUCAUUUUUAAUCUGGAAAGUGCUGCCCAACAUUGAAUGGGCAGCCCGGGGAAGUUAAUCCAGAUGGGAAUAAUCCUCAUCGACUCAUUUUUAAUUUGGAAAUUAGGGUCCAACCUUUCAAUACCAUAGGUUUGCCAUUAACAGUAUAUGGCCCUUGCUGCAUAAUUAAGCUCUUAUCUUCCAUAGAAUCAAAUUUAAAGAUAAAAUAGCCGUCAUCAUGCAAGAACACUGUAGGUAUUGUGACAUCCUUUCACACUCCAUAAACAAAUUUUAGCAUUUCCUUAAAAGAAGGGUUACCUCCGAUGACAUAUCCUAUCGAUGCAUUUCUCCAUUUCUG